rnacentral:rRNA from 1 species
GGCGCUUCACACCCACCUAGAGGAGCCUGUUCUAGAACCGAUAACCCCCGUUAAACCUCACCUUCUCUUGCCCCCCCCCCGCCUAUAUACCGCCGUCGUCAGCCCACCCUGUGAAGGCCCAGUAGUGAGCAAAACUGGCACAGCCCAAAACGUCAGGCCGAGGUGUAGCGAAUGAGAAGGGAAGAAAUGGGCUACAAUUGCUUAAACAGCUAAAACGAAUUGUUCUGCUGAAACCGCACUCAUGAAGGAGGAUUUAGAAGUAAGGGAAUAAAUAGAGUAUAUCCCUGAAAUGGUUCUGAAGCGUGCACACACCGCCCGUCACUCUCCCCAAGCUAGAUAAAUAAAUAUAAAUAAUUACCUAACACUACAAAGGGGAGGCAAGUCGUAACAUGGUAAGUGUACCGGAAGGUGCACUUGGAGUAAAU